rnacentral:rRNA from 1 species
GAUGAACGCUGGCGGCGUGCCUAAUACAUGCAAGUCGAGCGAACGGACGAGAAGCUUGCUUCUCUGAUGUUAGCGGCGGACGGGUGAGUAACACGUGGAUAACCUACCUAUAAGACUGGGAUAACUUCGGGAAACCGGAGCUAAUACCGGAUGAUAUUUUGAACCGCAUGGUUCAAAAGUGAAAGACGGUCUUGCUGUCACUUAUAGAUGGAUCCGCGCUGCAUUAGCUAGUUGGUAAGGUAACGGCUUACCAAGGCAACGAUGCAUAGCCGACCUGAGAGGGUGAUCGGCCACACUGGAACUGAGACACGGUCCAGACUCCUACGCGAGGCAGCAGUAGGGAAUCUUCCGCAAUGGGCGAAAGCCUGACGGAGCAACGCCGCGUGAGUGAUGAAGGUCUUCGGAUCGUAAAACUCUGUUAUUAGGGAAGAACAUAUGUGUAAGUAACUGUGCACAUCUUGACGGUACCUAAUCAGAAAGCCACGGCUAACUACGUG